rnacentral:lncRNA from 1 species
UGGUUUGUACCGUUGGCAGCGAUCACAUCUUUUGACAUAUUCAGUAGAGUCAUGGCGCAUAGUAGGCCAGAAAUAGCCCACGUUUAAAGCCUUCUGGGCGAGUGACCUGCCCCCAGAGUGGUUGCCACACUCGCCGUCAUGAAUUUUGCAAAGGACCUCAAGUGUUUGAGGGUACUUUAGGCAAGUGAGAUGAGGGCCGGAGUAUGAUCUGCGAAUGAGCUUG